UACAGAGGUCUCAAGCGUUGUUCGGAUCCAUUGGGCGUAAAGGGUGCGUAGGCGGCGCGGUAAGUCGGGUGUGAAAUCUCGGAGCUUAACUCCGAAACUGCAUUCGAUACUGCCGUGCUUGAGGACUGGAGAGGAGACUGGAAUUUACGGUGUAGCGGUGAAAUGCGUAGAUAUCGUAAGGAAGACCAGUGGCGAAGGCGGGUCUCUGGACAGUUCCUGACGCUGAGGCGCGAAAGCGUGGGGAGCAAACAGG
rnacentral:rRNA from 1 species